GAAGAGAGUCGUAACAAGGUUUCCGUAGGUGAACCUGCGGAAGGAUCAUUC
rnacentral:rRNA from 1 species